UACGAAGGGGGCUAGCGUUGCUCGGAAUUACUGGGCGUAAAGCGCACGUAGGCGGCUUUCUAAGUCAGGGGUGAAAUCCUGGAGCUCAACUCCAGAACUGCCUUUGAUACUGGAGAGCUUGAGUCCGGAAGAGGUGAGUGGAACUCCGAGUGUAGAGGUGAAAUUCGUAGAUAUUCGGAAGAACACCAGUGGCGAAGGCGGCUCACUGGGCCGGUACUGACGCUGAGGUGCGAAAGCGUGGGGAGCAAACAGG
rnacentral:rRNA from 1 species